CCCGGCUGGCGGUUCGACGUCAGUGCCCUGGUGGCCGACUUCGUGAAGCUGGAGGUGCCGCGCGUGGCCUCGCUGCAGGAGUAUGGCGUGCUGGCCGGCCGGGAGGUCGGUAUGACAACUGUGCAGGUGCUCUCCCCGCUGUCCGACUCCAUCCUGGCAGAGAAGACGGUCACCGUGCUGGACGACAAGGUUUCUGUCACAGAGCUGGCCAUCCAGCUGGUGGCCGGGCUGUCGGUCUCCCUGUACCCCUACACAGAGCACAGCCGGGCCAUCACCGCCGUGGCCACUGCUGAGGAGCUGCUGCGUACCCCCAAACAGGAAGCUGUGGUCAGCACCUGGCUGCAGUUCAGUGAUGGCUCGGUGACGCCCCUGGACAUCUACGACAGCAAGGACUUCUCCCUCGCCGCCAGCUCCCUGGACGAGGCUGUUGUGUCCGUGUCCCAGCCGCACUCUCCGCACUGGCCCAUCGUGGUGGCUGAGGGGACCGGCCAGGGCCCGCUGGUCCGCGUGGACAUGAGCAUCGCCGAGUCCUGCCAGAAAUCCAAGCGCAGAAGUGUGCUGGCUGUGGGCUUUGGUAAUGUCAGGGUCAAGUUCGGACAGAGCAAUGUGGAUGCCGGGACGGGGGCCACUGAGGAGGAGGAGGAGCAGGCAGGGGCAGAGAGCGAGAACCGCAGCAGCGACCGCAGGCAGAAGGGCCUGGAGGGGCCGCCACAGAGUGGCUCUGCUGGGGAACUCAAGGAAGGGGCUCUGUGGAGGGCCGGCUCCAGGGCCAAGGCACAGCCGGAGGGUAAGGCGGUGCAAAACAGCCACCCAUCAGGGGAUGAGCUGCCACACACCAUCCCGCUGGACUUCUCCAACUUCCCAGGGCACCUGGGCCUCCCAGGGGCUGGGGCUGGGCUGCAGGGUGGCGGCCUAGUACCCACAGCACGAGGCCUGAGUGACCUGGAGAUCGGCAUGUACGCGCUGCUGGGCGUCUUCUGCCUGGCCAUCCUUGUCUUCCUCAUCAACUGUGCCACUUUUGCCCUAAAGUUCCGGCGCAAGCAGGUGCCGCUCGAGGGCCAGGCCUCUGUAACGCACUUGCACGACUGGGUGUGGCUGGGCAAUGAGGCUGAGCUGCUGGAGAGCAUGGGGAACCCCACAUCGCCCCCCGAGGAGCACACCACAGCCAUAGACCACGGCCCGGGGCACUGCAGGGAGAGCGAGCUGCUGCUCGUGGGCAGGGCCGGUGCCCAGCAGCAGGUGCCCGGCCAGGUGCACUGGGCUGUAGGUGGCGGGGCCCAGCAGGAGCCGCACCCACUGGCCUCCCAGAGGAAGAGGGUCCAGUUCGCCACCUUCCCGGCCAUCCCAGUCCCGCCGGUGGGCGGCUCUGCCGUGGCCACCUCCAUUCUGGGGGUGCACUAAGGUGGUGUGUCCCCCAAGAGCUCAGACUCUCUGGAAAGGUGCCCAGAGCCUUGAGAACCCUCAGCGGGUCCAGGGCAGAGGCCAGGGCGGGGCCACAGCUGUGGAUGCCGGCAUGGCACCUUCAUAGGACACUUUGCAAAGCAGCAUCCUUGGAUAUCGGGUGCGGACAGAGAUGGGGUGCAGAGACGCUGUGCCCCACACAGCAAAUUAGGAGGGGCAUUUUACGAAUCAACCUGUCAUACAGCUACCAAAAAUUAUUUGUUAAAAAACACAAAAAAAGACGAAUAAAAAGAGACAAAGAAUGAUUUGUUUAUAUUUCUAAUAAAGGAGC
ensembl:lincRNA